rnacentral:rRNA from 1 species
AUUGAACGCUGGCGGCAUGCCUUACACAUGCAAGUCGAACGGUAACAGGUCUUCGGAUGCUAACGAGUGGCGAACGGGUGAGUAAUACAUCGGAACGUGCCUAGUAGUGGGGGAUAACUACUCGAAAGAGUGGCUAAUACCACAUGAGAUCUACGGAUGAAAGCAGGGGAUCGCAAGACCUUGUGCUACUAGAGCGGCCGAUGGCAGAUUAGGUAGUUGGUGGGAUAAAAGCUUACCAAGCCGACGAUCUGUAGCUGGUCUGAGAGGACGAUCAGCCACACUGGGACUGAGACACGGCCCAGACUCCUACGGGAGGCAGCAGUGGGGAAUUUUGGACAAUGGGCGAAAGCCUGAUCCAGCAAUGCCGCAUGCAGGAUGAAGGCCUUCGGGUUGUAAACUGCUUUUGUACGGAACGAAAAGCCCCGGGUUAAUACCCUGGGGUCAUGACGGUGCCGUAAGAAUAAGCACCGGCUAACUACGUGCCAGCCGCCGCCGUAA